ACUUGCUUGCUUCUCUUGUAUUCCCGCACGUCCUACCUGUCUCCGGCGCUCAGUGGUUUGGACAGAAGGAAAGAAAGGAGAGGGCGCUCAUAUCCGAUAAAAAGUUUUGUAGGGAAAUGUUUCCUCUAAUUUUAUAUGUCUCUGGUAGA
ensembl:ncRNA F08C6.9 ncRNA